rnacentral:rRNA from 1 species
UACGUAGGGUGCGAGCGUUGUCCGGAAUUACUGGGCGUAAAGAGCUCGUAGGUGGUUUGUCGCGUUGUUCGUGAAAACCGGGGGCUUAACUCUCGGCGUGCGGGCGAUACGGGCAGACUGGAGUACUGCAGGGGAGACUGGAAUUCCUGGUGUAGCGGUGGAAUGCGCAGAUAUCAGGAGGAACACCGGUGGCGAAGGCGGAUCUCUGGGCCAUAACUGACGCUGAGGAGCGAAAGCAUGGGGAGCGAACAGG